rnacentral:rRNA from 1 species
UUGUCACACUCCUACGGGAGGCAGCAGUGGGGAAUAUUGCACAAUGGGCGCAAGCCUGAUGCAGCCAUGCCGCGUGUAUGAAGAAGGCCUUCGGGUUGUAAAGUACUUUCAGCAGUGAGGAAGGCGGCGUCGUUAAUAGCGGCGUUGUUUGACGUUAGCGACAGAAGAAGCACCGGCUAACUCCGUGACAGCAGCCGCGGUAAUACGGAGGGUGCGAGCGUUAAUCGGAAUUACUGGGCGUAAAGCGCAUGCAGGUGGUUUGUUAAGUCAGAUGUGAAAGCCCCGGGGCUCAACCUCGGAAUUGCAUUUGAAACUGGCAGACUAGAGUACUGUAGAGGGGGUAGAAUUUCAGGUGUAGCGGUGAAAUGCGUAGAGAUCUGAAGGAAUACCGGUGGCGAAGGCGGCCCCCUGGACAGAUACUGACACUCAGAUGCGAAAGCGUGGGGAGCAAACAGGAUUAGAUACCCUGGUAG